rnacentral:rRNA from 1 species
GUCUCUGGUCACACCAGUCUGAAUGCCCCUGAAUUCAUCUAACAUCAGCAGCUAAGCAGGGUUGGGCCUGGUUAGUACUUGGAUGGAUUAAAGAUAAUUUCAGUUUUCUUAAAUU